AAAUAGAAAGCAAAUUGCAAUCAGUUUCGACCUGGUACUUGACGUUUCCAACGUCUCUAUUUA
rnacentral:tRNA from 1 species